rnacentral:misc_RNA from 1 species
UUAAGUUCAGCGGGUAUCCCUACCUGAUCCGAGGUCAAGUGAAAAGUAUAAGCUUGUGGACGCCGCCGCACCCAGCAGAAGGCGCAAAAUGUGCUGCGCUUCCUGGGGAACGGCUGGCUGCCAAUGCAUUUGAGGCGAGUUCACGCGCGCGGCGGAACAAAACGCCCAACACCCAGCAAGGCUGGAGGGUACAAAUGACG